UGCAUAAAUAUACGUCAAUCAAAAUUUAAAAAAUAAAUAAAUAAUCAAACAAAUAAAUAUGGAUAAUUCAAUAAUUUGAUAAAAAAUUUCUACAAAUACACUCAUUAUGGUAAUUGCUUUGACCUGUCUUUAUCCAUUUUUAAAACGAUCAACAAUCCCUUUUUAAAAUGAUCAACGCACUAUAUUCUAUCCCAUUGAUCCUCCUUAACCCUAGCUCCAAUACAGAUAAAAAAAUAUGUCUCCCCAAAAUCACCAGGUUAAAUCCAUCGCCCACAGAAGAUCGUCACCAACAUCAUUUGCUGUUGUCGUCGAUCGCUUUCAGAUCGUGUUCGGAACUCCCUCACUGGAGAUAAACCUCCGCGUUUGAAGGAGAAAAUUAAGACGCGGGUCAAUCGCAUUUUGGUAGAGAAGAAAUAUCUUGAAUCGAAGAAUCCUAAGGUGGGUGCGAAAUAUGUAUUACGAGAUGGGGUUCGAGAUGUCAUCAAAUUAGGGAACCUCCUUACAGCGAGGUGUCUAAGUGUUUGUACGUCGGUGGGUGGCCUUUUUCGCUGGACAAAAUGUUGUCGGGUAACCCUGCUGUAAUAGAUUGCACCUGUGAGUUACCUGGGUUUCUGGUUUAUCUAAAAAUGGUUAUCUUUGUGUUCCGACGUGGGAUACAAGGUCUUCGGAUCCAGGUGCCAUGGAUCGUCUGUUCGAUGGGCUUGGAGAAAGAGAACUCAGAAUACUCUUAUCUUCAUUUAUUGUGCUUAUGGUAAUUCAAAUUCAUUUCAUCCUUACUAAUACAGUAAUACUAUACCUCUUCAUUAACGAUAUCAUUACACUAAAACCAUCAAUCUUAAUUCUGAUAUGAUUUUAACCAAGGCCAUAGAAAUGAUGAGAAAUUAAUCAAAGAAAAACGACCUUAUAUUCGAAUGAAUGCUCUUCACCGGAAAGCCUUGAAAGAAUGGUCAAUGAACCAGUUAUCUCCUCACCAAAAUGGAUCCAAUGCACGUUAUUGAUUAGGUGUUCAAUUGUUUCGGGCAAUAUUUAUGUCUCCACUUUGAGUCCAGAGUCAAGUUUUCAAGCCCAAAGAUCAAAGUAAAAGCAAGGCAGCUAAGUGACGACAAAACACCCACCAGGUGUUGGAAAACCCAUUGUUGGACUUGAUCAACUCAAUAAAGUAAACAAUUGUAGUCUAGUGCCAUGGACAGGGGCAAAAUCGUCAAACAAGGCAAGAUUGUUCUUAUGUGUAAUUGGUAUUUGGUAUUUUUCUAAUUAUAUUAUUUGGUUUUUUUAUCGUACAACAGGAACGUGUUUUUAUACACCGUAAGAUUGCCCAUUUGGUUCAGUAAUCUUAACUCUCACUUUCACUUUUGAUUUUCAAAUUCAUUAUGCUUGGUUGUGAAAUUGAUUUUAUACAGGUAGCAAGAACAACUGUGUUUUUUCAAAUUCAACCUUGGUUAUGAAUUGAUUCAUAUUUCAAUUUAUGUUUUUUUUUUUUCCUGAUUUAACACUUCAUUUAUGUGGACAAUGCAAGAUCUUGACAAAGUUGAAUUCUGAAUUGGAAUGGGAUGACGAAUUCCAAUUCUGUUGGAAUGGAAUGAUAAAUUCCAAUUCUGUUCGAAUCAUAGAAGUUGAUGCUUCAAAAACGGACCACAUUAUUCUUUUAGAAUGUAUUAGUCGUUGUUAGAUUUUGAUGUUUUCUUCCCCGUUUUGAUUGUUUUUUUAGUUUUAUUCUUUAACAAUAAAUGUAAUUCUUAACAAUUGUUAACCGUAUUCUAUAAGAAAUAAUGUAUUUUUUGUUUUUAUUCUUCACUUGAUUGUUCAAGAUUUUGUUA